CACCAGAACCAGGAUGAGGAGGAGGAGGUUGUGGCGGUGUCUUCCGGGAAGAAGACCAAACUGGUAAUUUGAUUUAUUGCAUGGAAAUACCAUACAACCUUCCAUCUUCAAUAAGUCAUCCAUACCAAAAAAUAUCUUUCGUACAUAAUAGAGACAUGAGUGAAGGAAAGAAGCAAAAGGGUGGCUCUUCAGGAGCUGGAUCUGGUUUUCUUGUGCCCCUUCAACUUUCGGAUGAUUUAGUGAAAUUUAUCGGCACUGGAUACGUGGAUUUGAUCCACCACCAGCUCGAGUUUUUGUUUGGCAUGCCCUAGAGUUGGAUGCAUUCAAUGGCUUGAAGAAUACUAUCAUGGUGCUAUCUUUAUCAUUCCAAGCUGGAUUAGAUGGUGAGCAAAACUUUACAGUGGUCUGAAGAUAACUAUUAAGGAGAAUUGAUCUAACAGAUAAUACCAAAGAUAGACUCGUUGUAAGGAACUUCAAAGUCUGGGACCUCAGUAAAUGUACAUUAAUUCUCCAGGCAUCACUGGUUAAGGAUCCAGCUGUGUCAGUUAAUCGCAUAAUAUGGAGUCCUGAUGGAACCUUGUUUG